GGGGUUGUAGUUAAACAUAACAUUUGGGUUGCAUCCAAAAAGUACUGUAGGGUCUACCUCA
rnacentral:tRNA from 1 species